rnacentral:rRNA from 1 species
AACGAACGCUGGCGGCAUGCCUAACACAUGCAAGUCGAACGAGACCUUCGGGUCUAGUGGCGCACGGGUGCGUAACGCGUGGGAACCUGCCCUUAGGUUCGGAAUAACUCCUCGAAAGGGGUGCUAAUACCGGAUAAUGUCUUCGGACCAAAGAUUUAGCGCCUUUGGAUGGGCUCGCGUUGGAUUAGCUAGUUGGUUAGGUAAAAGCCUACCAAGGCGACGAUCCAUAGCUGGUCUGAGAGGAUGAUCAGUCACACUGGGACUGAGACACGGCCCAGACUCCUACGGGAGGCAGCAGUGGGGAAUAUUGGACAAUGGGCGAAAGCCUGAUCCAGCAAUGCCGCGUGAGUGAUGAAGGACUUAGGGUUGUAAAGCUCUGUUACCCGGGAUGAUAAUGACAGUACCGGAAGAAUAAGCUCCGGCUAACUCCGUG